AUGCCUAUGGGUUUAUCGGAAGCUCCCGAUACUUUCAUGCGUCUUAUGCAUUUUGUGCUUCGUCCUUACAUUGGAGUGUUUGUUGUGGUUUACUUUGAUGACAUUCUUGUUUUUAGCAAAUCCAUGAAAGAGCAUCUAAAUCAUGUUAGGGCAGUUUUGCAAACCCUUCGCAAGGAACGUCUUUAUACCAACAUGAAAAAGUGCACAUUUGGUGUUGACAAACUUCUUUUCUUGGGUUUCGUUAUUUCUUCCAAGGUGUCCAUGUUGAUGAAUCUAAAAUUGAGGCAAUUAAAACUUGGCCCCAACCCACCAAUUUGCAACAAGUGCGUAGCUUUCUUGGCCUUGCGGGUUUCUAUCGUCGCUUUGUGA
rnacentral:rRNA from 1 species